GUUUGUUUAACACCCAUAUUUGACACAAAUUUGACAUCGUCCAGGUGUCAAAUUUCUAUUGGGUUUUAUGUUUUUAAUGGAAAAUGGUUUUUUAAUGUACUGAGGAGGGUAGAAUAGGAAUUAUGAGAUAUAUGGAAUAUGAGUUUUCAUUUGGCGGUUUCAUUUUGGUGUCUUUCACUUUGCUUUUGAGCAUUCUCUUUCACUUUCUUUUUGUUUCCAUUCCCGCACUUUCAUCAUCCUUUGCUAUCUCCAUUGCUGCGUUGGUGUUAUCCGAACCGAAAAAAGGGAGUCUUUCGCAAGAUAAGGUGUAGUUCUGGUAUCCCUUUUUUGGGGGGCUUGGGUUUCGGCUUGGGUUUCUUUUGAGUUUCGUCAUUUCGACUCGGUCUCGCAUUUUUUGGUUUUUAUUUCUGUAUCAUUUCGUCUUGUAUUGCCUCAUUUUUAUCUUCCACUUAAUUUAAGGUUUAAUAUAUUUUUUUUGAAACCUAAGCAAAUAUUGAUAUUUGGCCUCUUACAUGUUUUCAUUUUGUGUUCAG
rnacentral:lncRNA from 1 species